AAAUUCACCUCUAACUAUAAAGAAAUUAGUUCACAUGUCUAACAUAAUUGAAAAGCAAGUUAAAUUAAACAUGAAAACAGAAACAAAGAAAGAAAGAACUCCAAACACUCCACUAAUGGCAGAUUGCAUGUGCAAGGCUUCUCCCUCCUUUUGGACUGCACGGCACUACUUCUUCCUCCUCCAAUGGUGGCUGCACACGGUGGUGAUGGUGGUGGGAAGGCACGGCAAGGGUGAAUUGUGGCAGAAAUAUGGGAAUCUGGGGUGGAAGGUUGCGGCAAGGAGAGAAAUAGGGUUUUUGGCGUGAAUGAAUGAUAUGGGGGGUGGUAGGUUCGGCCAAGAGGUUUAAGAGAGUAUAUAUAGGCACUUAAAAACCCUAGCAAUCAGAUUAGGGUUUCUAGAAACCCAAAUCCACCAGAAAAUAGGUUAAAACAAUCAGAAUUUGCAAGGGAAAAGGCCUAGGGUUCGGCUGGUUUAGUGGGCUAGGGUUUAGGCUUCUAGAAUGCCUUGCAAGGCAAGGAAAUCAGAAAUUUUAAAGGCCUAGGUGUGGCAAAUUAGUGGGCUAGGGUUAGGGUUUGUAGAUAGGGCUUCUAGAAAGCCCAAAACCAAGAAUAGAAACUCUCGAAAACGGAAACCUCCAAGAAUAGAAACUUCCAACUUUAGAAACUUUGGUUUCUAAUUCUGAAUUCUUUGUUCUUCACAUUCAUUUCUUCAUUUCUUAAGCUCCUUUGCCCUUCAACUCGUCCAUUCCUUGUGCUCCAAGCAUGUACUUUCCAAUCUAAGCUCCAUUUUGCUCCAAAAGGCUCCAAUUUGCAUCCUUUUAUGUCAUAUGCCCUUUAAGCCUGAAAACACAUGAAAGUAGCUCAAAAGACUACUUUAACGACGAAAACAUAACGAAAAUGCAUAAGAACUAGCUAACUAAGGCGCAUAAAUAUGCUCCUAUCAAUCAUCUAGGUGUUUUCUUUCUUUGGAUUUUAAUGUCUAAAUUUAUGUAUCUUUGCUUUGUGAGUAUGAGGAACUAAACCCCCCUUGGCUAGGGGGGAAUUCGAAACCAUGUUUAUGCUUGCUAUAUGAUUUGAUUACUUUCAAUUACGUUUCAUAAGUUGUGAAUUCAAUUUACUUAUCUACAUGAAUUAAAACUGAUUUGUGUAUGUUGGUUGAGAGUGCACGCUUAAUUUUCAUGCAUAAGUUUGAUGCUAGGAUAUAAGAGAGUUUCACCUAAUUGUUAUGAACUUAUAUUCACAAGUAGUAAAGGUUGUUGAUCACAAUCGUGUUAAGUAAAUUCUUGGCAUAAGGUAAUGCAAUUCAUAGUAACGAGUGCUUCGCCAAUGCUUAUGAUUUUCAUAGAACUUAAUGAUUCUUGCUUGUAUC
rnacentral:lncRNA from 1 species